rnacentral:rRNA from 1 species
UACAGAGGGUGCGAGCGUUGUUCGGAAUUAUUGGGCGUAAAGCGCGUGUAGGCGGGAUGGCAAGUCGGGUGUGAAAGCCCUCAGCUCAACUGAGGAAGUGCGCCCGAAACUACUGUUCUUGAGUACUGGAGAGGGUGGCGGAAUUCCCGGUGUAGAGGUGAAAUUCGUAGAUAUCGGGAGGAACACCAGUGGCGAAGGCGGCGAUCUGGGAAGAUACUGACGCUGAGGUGCGAAAGCGUGGGGAGCAAACAGG